rnacentral:rRNA from 1 species
GACGAACGCUGGCGGCGUGCUUAACACAUGCAAGUCGAACGGAAAGGCCCUGCUUUUGUGGGGUGCUCGAGUGGCGAACGGGUGCGUAACACGUGAGUAACCUGCCCUUGACUUUGGGAUAACUUCUGGCAACUUGGUCUAAUACCGGAUCGGAGAUCCUGCUGCAUGGUGGGGUUUGUUCUGUUUCGCCGGUUGGGGUUGGACUCGCGGUUUACCAGCUUGUUGGUUGGGUAGUGGCUUACCAAGGCUUUGACGGGUACACGACAUGAGCGGGUGACCGGCGACAUUGGGACUGGGAGAGGACCCAGACGGCUACGGGAGGCAGCAGUGGUGAAUAUAGCACAAUGGGCGGAAGCCUGAUGCAGCAACGCAGCGUGCGUGAUGUCGGCCUUCGGGUUGUAAACCGGUUUGGCAUGUAACGAAGCGAGAGUGACGGUAAUGGGUAAAGAAGCACCGGCUAACUACGUG